ACUCAUGAAUCAUAAGAUCAUGACCUGAGGUGAAGUCAGCCACUUAACUGACUGAGCCACCCAGGCACCCUGAUGAUACUGCCUUCCAGGGACCCAUGGACAGUAGAUUUGAAGUUUCGGAAGUUUGGCUUGCUAGAUAGGAAAAUAACAACUGCCCCAGUAGUGUUCUCUGGAAUGGGAUUUGCUGAAUUCGUAUACUUCUUUAAAUAUGGUUACAUCAAAUUAUUGGUGGGCUCUUUGUGAACCCAGCUUAAACCCACUGUAUCUUAUCUUUUUGCAUUCAGAAAAGAAGCCUAAUUUUUUUCAAGCAUCCAGCCUUCUUCCAAAGAUCCUAUGUGGUUUGAGUGAUACCUUUGCCAGCUGCAUAGAUAGAUCUUGAUCAGUAACCGAAUCAGAGUAGCCCACACUUCUUGCCAGUUGGUUUAGAAAUCCUGACCUAUUGCGAUAUGUUGAAAGGACACCCAAGCCAAUAAACUCUGUCAAAUUGGCACACGAAGGGGCUCCUACUCUGCGAAUCCAGCAGAAUUUGAGUAUCACAAAGAAUAACGUACCAGUGAAUCAAAAAAGAAUCCAAGUCCAUAGAGAUUCUCAGAGGAAAAACGGUGGACGAAGGUCCAGGGAAAGCUCUUCUCUACAGAAGCAUGCCAGCCAAAAAAUUUAGAAGGAAAGUGUGAGGAAACUCUCAUUUUGCAACCACCAUGUGUAAUAGUCGAUUCACCACUGGGUGCAAAGUUGCUGGCAAAAGGAACAUUCACGUGCUCUCAAAAUAAUGCCUCAGUUAAAAGGGGGAAAGGUACUUAUUUGUGGAUAAAUCUGAUGGACGCCACCUUAACAUGUCACAAUGAGCAUUAUCAGUAGUGGGACGAUCUAAUAUUCCUCCUCAUGUCAUGGACAUCAUUGGAAGAACAUACUGUUUGUGGUAUUCUUGCCAAAAUGUUUACACUGAAUCUAAUCAUGACAAAAUAAGGCAAAUGUGGAUUAUGGGAUACCGUAUAAGACAACUUAAAAUCUUCAAAAAUCUUAAAAAAAAAUCAAUGUCAUGAAAGCAAAUACAGAAAGAAAGCAAAUUGUUCUAAAGAAAACUAAGGAGGCAAAUGCAGUGAAUGAUCUGUGAUUGGAUCCUGGACUUUAAAAAAAAAAGACUCUAAAAAGACAUAUUGGGGAUAAUUCGAUUUAGCUGUGCCUGGGUAAGAUUGGCAAACUCACGGCAUAUGUCAUCGUUGGCUGUUGAAAUUUGGAUGACCUACAGAACCAUUUCCAUUCUAUCAGAAGGCUUUGGCUGCCGUGCCAGAAGAGUUGGAAAUGAUCAAAGAAAUUCGACUAACUUGUCAUUUCCUGACUUCUAACCUCUGAGGAGUCUUGGGCUUCAACUGGUGACUCAAGCAGUCAGCCAUAUGGAGGAGACGAUGGCCUGGUGCUAAAUUAAGACUCAUAUACACACUAUGAGUUCUCAAAAUCCCUCUCCCUUUCUCCUCCCACACCUCGCCCUCUAACUGCCAGGUCUCACAAGCAUUAAAUAGCCAAUGGCAAGGAGAGAAGCCAUGCUGGGGAUUCCUCGUAGCUUCUGCUCCCAUUUGGGACAGCUCUGGCAAUGGCACCAGCUCACCUUACGACUCCCCUUUUUCUACACAUCCUGCCUAUAGACUUAAGCAGUGACCUCAAGAGCCGAUGUCACGUAGCAACCGAAUGACUCAAACGCAGAGCUACUCUAAUAAUGCAGAGUUGCCGUGAUUAUCUCCAACUCCACCUCAUCCUUAUUGGUCAGCGUGUUCCCUAUUCUAAUGAUUCUAAUGAUUGGAAAAAGAGCAAAGAAAUAACAGCCAUGAGAAAAGAAUCAUUUUUCCACAGCAAAGCAUAAGUCUUUCUAAGCAACAGCAACAGUAAUAAAGACCAUUUAUUGAGUAUUGAGUUGUGUGCUGUCGAACUGAUCACUUUACACAUAGUUGCUGUUAAUCUUCAUAACAUUCUUCUGAUAAAUGUCAUUUUAUAGAUGAGGACACCGAGACUGAGAGUUAAGCCAUUUUCCAAGGUUUCAUGCUAGAAAAUGACUGAGGCAUGAUUCAAACUGUAGGUGGCCACCCAAAGCUACAUUUCCAAAUACUAUACCAUCCUUUCAAUUCAAGGACCAAUUUAAAAUAACAUUUGCCACUUAUUUCCUCACUAUCGAAGCCACAGAUGUUCAUUAUUAAAAAUAUGAUUAAAAAAUUCAAUUCGUAUUAACAUUUUUAAAUUAGCCCAAACUCAGCUGCCUACAGGUAACUACUACACAUUUCAUUUCCAAUAUUUUCCUGUGAUUAUAUGUGUGUGUGCAUGUAUAUAUGUGUGUAUAUUUGUACGGAGUAUAUGUAUUAUAAGCUGUGGUUUGGGAGUACUACAUUUUUAUCUUAAGAUUAUACCGAUCUCCUAAUUUUGGGAUUGUUCAUUGCUUGUAUAUAGAAAUACAAUUCAUUUUUGUAUGUUGAUCUUGUACUCCACACCUUGCUACUUGUUCAUUUUAGUAGUGUGUGUAUUAUUUAAGAUGUUCUAUAAAUAGGAGCAUGAGUCUAUGAAUAAAGAUGUUUCCCUUUUUCCUUUC